AUUCAUUUGACGAGUCCAAAAUAGAACAAAACGCGUGUCGUGGAU
rnacentral:hammerhead_ribozyme from 1 species